UGAGGAAUAUUGGUCAAUGGGCGGAAGCCUGAACCAGCCAUCCCGCGUGCAGGAAGACAGCCCUAUGGGUUGUAAACUGCUUUUCCAGUGGGCGAAACACUCGUACGUGUACGGGAUUGACGGUACACUGGGAAUAAGCAUCGGCUAACUCCGUGCCAGCAGCCGCGGUAAUACGGAGGAUGCGAGCGUUAUCCGGAUUCAUUGGGUUUAAAGGGUGCGUAGGCGGAUGAAUAAGUCAGUGGUGAAAGGCUGCAGCUUAACUGUAGACUUGCCGUUGAUACUGUUUAUCUUGAGUAUGGUCAAGGCAGGCGGAAUGUGUAAUGUAGCGGUGAAAUGCUUAGAUAUUACACAGAACACCGAUUGCGAAGGCAGCUUGCUGGGCCAUUACUGACGCUGAUGCACGAAAGCGUGGGGAGCGAACAG
rnacentral:rRNA from 1 species